UACGUAGGGUGCGAGCGUUAAUCGGAAUUACUGGGCGUAAAGCGUGCGUAGGCGGAUUUGCAAGUCAGAAGUGAAAUCCCCGGGCUUAACCCGGGAAUUGCUUUUGAAACUGCAAAUCUUGAAUCCCGGAGGGGCCAGUAGAAUUCCUAGUGUAGAGGUGAAAUUCGCAGAUAUUAGGAGGAAUACCAGUGGCGUAGGCGACUGGCUGGACGGGUAUUGACGCUGAGGUACGAAAGCGUGGGGAGCAAACAGG
rnacentral:rRNA from 1 species